GACGAACGCUGGCGGCAUGCCUAAUACAUGCAAGUCGAGCGGAGUUGAUGAGAAGCUUGCUUCUCUGAUACUUAGCGGCGGACGGGUGAGUAACACGUAGGCAACCUGCCCUCAAGCUUGGGACAACUACCGGAAACGGUAGCUAAUACCGAAUUCUUGUUUUCUUCGCCUGAAGGAAACUGGAAAGACGGAGCAAUCUGUCACUUGGGGAUGGGCCUGCGGCGCAUCAGCUAGUUGGUGAGGUAACGGCUCACCAAGGCGACGAUGCGUAGCCGACCUGAGAGGGUGAUCGGCCACACUGGGACUGAGACACGGCCCAGACUCCUACGGGAGGCAGCAGUAGGGAAUCUUCCGCAAUGGGCGAAAGCCUGACGGAGCAAUGCCGCGUGAGUGAUGAAGGUUUUCGGAUCGUAAAGCUCUGUUGCCAGGGAAGAACGCUUGGGAGAGUAACUGCUCCCAAGGUGACGGUACCUGAGAAGAAAGCCCCGGCUAACUACGUGCCAGCCGCCGCGGUAA
rnacentral:rRNA from 1 species